rnacentral:rRNA from 1 species
CCUGAGAAACCCAAAAGAUCGAAUGGAAAGAUUCAUCGUCAGCUCAUUUUGUAUAUAUAUAAAUUAUGAUAUGAGUUACUACUUGUAGUAUUGCUUAUACAUUCUUAUAUAUUUAGUUUCAGAAUGUUGUAGGCGUGCACUUCUUUCCUAGUAGAACGUCGCGACCCGUUGAUUAUCGGUUUACGGCUCAAGUGGUAGUCUUUAAUAUUUUAUUAUAUUAAAGUCCCUUGAUGUUUUCUAACCGGAUAUUCGGCGGUACACGUAAGGUAUUAAGCCGCAAUUAUAUGCGUCUAUUCCCGUCGCAAGCGAGGCUAAUUACUAAUAGUACGGAGUUAGUGCUGUCGUUAGUAAUUGCCAGCUGUUGGUUGUUACGGUGUUCUAGGACUGGCUUAUAAUAAUUACCGGUCGGCGAUGCUAUUGCUUUGGGUACUUUCAGGACCCGUCUUGAAACACGGACCAAGGAGUCUAACAUGUGCGCAAGUCAUUGGGAUUUUUUUAUUAAAAUUAAACCUAAAGGCGCAAUGAAAGUAAAGGUCGUCCUUGCGUCGACUGAGGGAGGAUGAGUUAUAUUAUGAUAUAAUUCCGCACUCCCGGGGCGUCUCAUUCUUAUUAUAAGAAGAGGCGCACUUAG